rnacentral:antisense_RNA from 1 species
GACAGAGUACAGACAAGGAGGAAAAAUAACUUCACAGUGGAGAAACCUGACAAACAGUAGCUCUGCCAAAUGAUCCAAGUUAACAUCAA